rnacentral:rRNA from 1 species
UACGUAGGGUGCGAGCGUUUGUCCGGAAUUAUUGGGCGUAAAGGGCUCGUAGGCGGUCUGUUGCGUCGGGAGUGAAAACUCAGGGCUUAACCCUGAGCUUGCAGUGGGUACGGGCAGACUAGAGUGCGGUAGGGGGAGACUGGAAUUCCUGGUGUAGCGGUGAAAUGCGCAGAUAUCAGGAGGAACACCGGUGGCGAAGGCGGGUCUCUGGGCCGUAACUGACGCUGAGGAGCGAAAGCAUGGGGAGCGAACAGG